UAAGGGUCUGAAAAGCGAGGUGAAGCUGG
rnacentral:piRNA from 1 species